rnacentral:rRNA from 1 species
GAUGAACGCUGGCGGCGUGCCUAAUACAUGCAAGUCGAGCGAACAGACGAGGAGCUUGCUCCUCUGACGUUAGCGGCGGACGGGUGAGUAACACGUGGAUAACCUACCUAUAAGACUGGGAUAACUUCGGGAAACCGGAGCUAAUACCGGAUAAUAUAUUGAACCGCAUGGUUCGAUAGUGAAAGACGGUUUUGCUGUCACUUAUAGAUGGAUCCGCGCCGCAUUAGCUAGUUGGUAAGGUAACGGCUUACCAAGGCAACGAUGCGUAGCCGACCUGAGAGGGUGAUCGGCCACACUGGGACUGAGACACGGUCCAGACUCCUACGGGAGGCAGCAGUAGGGAAUCUUCCGCAAUGGGCGAAAGCCUGACGGAGCAACGCCGCGUGAGUGAUGAAGGUCUUCGGAUCGUAAAACUCUGUUAUUAGGGAAGAACAAAUGUGUAAGUAACUAUGCACGUCUUGACGGUACCUAAUCAGAAAGCCACGGCUAACUACGUG